rnacentral:antisense_RNA from 1 species
CCCUAGUCCUUCCCCGCCCCUCAGGGAGCCCCGCCUCCAGCUGCCACCCACUGGGAUGCCGCGCGCCCUCUCACGGCCCCCGGUUUGCUGGGAGUCUUGUCAAUCACCGCUCCCCCCCCCCCGUGCUGCUCCCUCGGCACCUCCGUACUUAGUUUACCCCGCCCACCCGGCCCCGCCUCUGCGUUUCUAAUUUCCCAUUGGGCAUCAGUGGCUACUUUCAAUUGGCAAGGUCAGCUGUCCAUCAAACACCGCCCACCAAGUGAGACCCAACCCUUUAUUACCAUUUACUUUAUUCGGCCCCGCCUCCGCUAGGUCCUACCUCCCGAACGUCAGGGACCAGCCCCCGCUACCAGCCAUAAGUAGAGCCCUCCGUCAAUCAAAUAACGCCCACCUGCGCUCCUCCUAGCAAAGCCCCGGCCCCAGCGAUUGUCUUUUCUUAUUGGUCCAACUCGUGAUCCGAACCCCCAGUCACUGGCUUUCUUGCGGGUCAGUCACUGAGCCAAUUUCCAAGUCCGUCACACCGGCUUUUUUCAAAUGAACGCGCAAAAGGCGGGGAAGUAUCUGGAAAGCGAUUGGUUCGUCCUAGAAAACGGUCAAACCCGGAGAGUCUGUACGGAUCCUUUCCGUUCUGUGAGGACCGUGCCCCCUUGUAUUUGACCUCUAAGCCUCGCGUAAAAGAAGCGCCAUAAGGGACCAACGAGCAGUCCAGCUAUAGGUGUGGACGCCUGGUCCCACCCGGAAUUGCAGGGGCUUGGCUACUGAUUGGCUAAGAAAGUCCUCCUAGGCUCUCAUUGGAGGAUCUAAACGCCUCUCUUCGGCGUGGAGACGAGAAGGGACGGCUCAGACGAGGACAAGAAGUGGGCAGGGGAGAGGCGGUUGUUUUGCUUCAGCCGCGGGUGGGGCGCACGCGAGAGUGGGAAACUGGGAAGGCCGGGCUCUGGGGAGGUGUUGCGGGGAGGGGAAAGGCCCGGAUGUUCCCUAACAAUGAAAUCAUCGCCGACCUAUCAGAGCCGCCGAGCUGGGAUACCUGCCUGACCUGUACCCCGGAGUGAGAAGAGUGGGCGGGAAAUUGGGGUGUCGGAAGAACCUGGAAAGCAACGUGAGAAAGUGGGACAGGUGUUCCCUUCAGGAGGAUUUUGUGCUAUUAGAGAUUAUUUUUAUACCAGCCCUUGACAUUUCCGUAUUUUGUUUCUCAGUCGGCAUUGAUAUUAAAACUCCCAGCCUAGUCUCUUGACA